CUGAGGUCUGGAGAGGAUCAGGAUGAGGGGAAAGGGUGGACCUCUGCCACAGGAAAGGACGGUAGAAAGCAUAUGUUAUUUUUUAGGGCAGUGACAUGUGGGGCUGUAACAGAUUUAUAUAUCAGGGUGCAGUGACUACAACAACAAGCAAGACAGAGAUGUGGAGUCCAGAGACUCAGAGCUAUUAGAAUGGCACCAGAAAUAGGGGAGGAAAUAAGGUAACCCAAUCAUGCUUUGAGUAGUUUUUUGAGAACUGCCAACUGAAGGAAGACUCCUAAGUAAAUACUCAGAGUUCUUUGGACACCUCCCCAGAUACCCGCAUUGCACUGAGUGGUCCAAGGAGAUUCUGCAACCAUGCCUGACUCCUAGGAAGCCAUUAGCAUUUUCCAAGUUCUGCCUUCAUAGAACAAGUGUUCACAGGGACAGGAAAAGGUUAAGAGGCAGUGAGGCUAGGACAACAACCAGAGUCUCUGAAUCAACUUAUAUCCAACUCCUGGCAUUUAAAAAGUCCCAUAGGGUGCUGGGAUACCAAGAACCUGUUCCUGUUGGGUAGGAGGCUGAGGUUGAUAGGUGGGACAAAUGCUUGGGUCUCAGCCUACAAACGGGCCAACAUCGAAACUCCUGAGAUGCUGUAACCCUUCACCUGUCGGACA
rnacentral:lncRNA from 1 species